rnacentral:tRNA from 1 species
GGGGUCGAAUGGGGUACUGGUGUCCCCCGCGGUCUUCAAAACCGUUUGUGACCUGCGUGCCAGGUUAGCUGGGUUCGAUUCCCAGGCGGUCCCGCCA